AGCUGUGCGCACUGGCAGUAUCGUAGCCAAUGAGGUUUAUCUGAGGUGCGAUUAUUGCUAAUAGAAACACAGCAGUAGAGUAAAGGUGAUAAACCUGAGAUGCAGAGGGCGGGCAGAAUCAAUACAUAGUAAAGAGUGAC